rnacentral:lncRNA from 1 species
UUCAAGGGAUGAGAGGAAAUAGACGAGAGAGAGAGAGAGAGAGAGAGGAGAGAGCUCGGAAUCGAUCCCCAAAGAAGCCCUCAGAAGCAACUCCAAAAAAGAGAAACCCAGAAAUUCUAGAUCGACCUGGAGAGAGAAAAGUGAGAUUUUCACACACCUGUGGCCAAAAUUAGCCAAAAACUUCAACUAGAGAGUGAAACUUCAUUCAAAUAUAUUUCCAACCAUAGGUCACACGUCCCAAAUGGAGAUCGGGAAGGCCUCCUAAAGCCCCCCGAAACAGUGCCCUCCUGGCGGGCCAAGAAAGUCCGAAAAUUUUUCUAAGUGUUUAGACUGGUUGGUCACGAGUGAGGGAAAGCCAGUGUUUUUUGAAAAAGUUGAGAGAUAAAUGAGGAAAAUAUUGACUUUUACCCCCAAACUAGAAUACAUACAGUUUGGCGUGGUUCAAUUUUUUCAACAAAAGACAUCUUGAAGUCUAAUGUUAGAGGUCAACGAAAACCUUCGUUGUCAGUUCUUUUUUUGCAGAUCUCAUUUCCAGUUGAAGAAGCCAACUUCCACAGGCCCCCGAGGAUAAUUUUUCGGUUUCAUCGGCCAAGAACCACUUGAAAAGGAAACUAGGAAGUAAGGUAAGCAUCCUAGAUGUACUUAUUUUCGAGUUUGAGCAUAUUUUGAUCAUGAAAAUCAAGAGAAAAACUAGCCCGGAAAACCGAUUUUUGAGGCUGAAUUUUUCUAAGUGUUUGAAAUAUCUUCAAGAGUGUUGCAUGUGUGCUUCUUGAAGAGGUCGUUUUGAUGUUGUUCGGUGGGUCAUUUUCUAUGAUGUUUGUUGCAUUUGAAAGCUCAUGUUAUCUACUUUCACUCGCAUCAAAUAGUGUUUCCCUUAGAUCUCGUAUGUGAUGAGUGUCGGGGCUUGGGUAUGGGCAUUCAACUUGUUUUCUUGACUUGGGUUCAAAUCCAGAUUUGCAAAAUUCGCUCAAACCCGCAUAUUGGAGGACGAUUUCAGCUUGGUUCUUGUGUGUUUUAGGCUAUGAUCUUUAUCUAAUCUUACUCUUUGCAUGUGUUAAUUUAACCUUGAUGUUUUAGUUCCACAUAAUAUUGCUCAUGCGUUGAGAUUAAAGACUGCAAACAUGGCCUGAGAAAGCUGAUUCGGGAUAAUUUGAUGCACGCUAAGUGUUCGAUAAAAUGCGCAAACCAAGUUUCGAUCUUGAAACGGUCGAUUUGAGCUUGGUUCUUGUUAUAUUCACGUGAUGUGUUACUCCAUGUUAGCAUAGAUCGGUUUAAGGAAUUUAUUAAUUUUUUUUAAAAAAAUAAUAAUAAUAAAAGAGAAAAAUAUGAAAAUUUCAAAAAUAUAAAUAAAAAAAAAUGUUAGAUAGCAUCAAAUUAGGAUAUAAAUGACAUAUAUGAAAUUUUCCUAAUUUUAAAAGGCCAUUUUCCUAAUUUAAUGCUAUUUUGGUAUUUUAUAACCAUUUUUGUAAAUAAUCCAUUUUGCGUAGAUUAAAACUAUCUAGCGUAAUUUCAUGCAUAUUUAAAUUUCCAUUUUGCUCACGGGGGUCCUAUCCCGGGGUGUGAUAACAAGGCCAUGUAAUAUUAUUUGCCUGACUUGUAUCGGGUUUACCUUUUUUGCGUUUAUUUUCAAGUCAUUUCAAUUUCUUGGAUGUUUACUUACGCGCUGCUUUUCAUUAAUUUGAGUGUAAAUUUCUCUUCUAAAUUAUGUUAGGAUUAGUCUAGACAUUAUAAAAAAAAACUACAAAAACAUUUGCAUGAACAUUUAGUGGUUUCAUAAAGAUUAUAAUUGGUAAUCAAGAUUGUAUGGCCAUUUAGAUAAAUAAUCUUCCAAGUUAGUGGUACCGCAAGGGCGCCAAUAGAAACAUUGGUGUAAACAAGUCCCUGUUCCUAGAAAUCUCUGGUUGCGUAUGAAUUGAGACAACACUUCCGUGUCUUGAUUAGUUUCUAGCCGACCCCAAUAGGCUAGUGGCGACUCCUAGAAUUACAUAGGUUGUUAAGAACUAAAAAAUGAAUCCAACAUCGUGCGAGGUAUGGGCUUGGGAGAGCCCGCGCCUAAUCUAGGGCCAUUGGUCCACCUCUUUAGGCAAAUACCCCUAAACCUUCUUCCUUUUCCCCCGGACGGAAAAAAAGAGGUCAUGACACAGACCUUGAAGAUGCAUUAGCAUUAUUUAAUGGCAGGGAGAAUUACUAAGAAUACCAUAAUUCUAUUGCAAUUGUGCUAAUUCAAUUCAAUUCUUUUUUUUUUUUGCCAAUUUAGUCCAUCCACCCAAUUUUGGCUGGCUGACACUAACAUAGACACCAGCUGGAACCAAUUAUGAUAAUUUUUUAAUAAUAUCUUAUUUUAUUCGAAUUUUUAUUAUUUCUUUUUUUCCUUUUUUUCUUUCUUUUUUUUUCCCCUCAUUCUUCCUUAUUCCUCUGGUUGGCAAGAUCAACCUAGCUAGCCAAUGGUGAUGUUCACCUCUACUGGCCAAUGGCGUGGCCAAGCCUCACCCAGCCAUCGCAAGGCCCGCCCUUGCCGGCCACUAGCGAGGUUGAUCAUCGCCAUGUCUAGUCGAGGCUAGACCUCGCUAGAUCUGGUGAGGGCGGCUUUGCCAUCAUUUGGCGAGGCUUGCUCUUGUCAGUGGCCAUCAAGGCUGAGCAUUGUCAUUGGUUGAGGGGGUUAGCUCCCUUAGCCAAAGAAAGAAGGAAGAAUAAGGGAAAAAAAUAUAAAAAGGGGAAAAAAAAGGGAAAAUUAAUUUAAAAAAUUCAAAAAAUAAAAUAUUAUUACAAUAUUGCCAACAUCAGUGCCAACUAACCAAAAUGGCCAAAUAGAUUGAAUCAGUAUAGAUGCAAAAAGUUUAUGACUAAAUUGGCACAAUUGUAAUAGUUUUAUAACUUUUUUGAUAAUUUUCUCUUUAAUGGUGUGACUCUGCAAAACCUCACAGAUUGUGGACAGUGGAGGAUAAAUUAGCAUUGUUAAAAACCUGCGUUGCUUUGGCAGAUCUGGAAGGGAAGAAGGAAGCCAAACUGGAGCUUUUGCGGUGGUGCCGAGGAACGCUGAUGGAUGCUCUGGAAAGCUUGGUUGUAGUUCAGCCAUGGAAAUGGAGACCCCUUUGGAGUUGUUGAUCCAACGAAAGGAGAAGAUAGUUCUCCAAGUGGGCAAUCGAACUCUGUUCAAUGCUGACCAAGUCAGAUAUCUCAUCAGUGACGGCCAGCCACUA